AUGCCACUAAAGAUGGAAUAUUCCCCAGGCUUCGUUACUACGAUACUCCUCAUACUCACAAGGACCCAUGGAGACUCAGUGACACAGACAGAAGGUCAAGUGACCCUUUCAGAAGAGGAUUUUCUUACUAUACACUGCAACUAUUCAGCCUCAGGGUACCCAGCCCUGUUCUGGUACAUGCAGUACCCAGGAGAAGGUCCACAGCUCCUCUUCAGAGUCUCGAAGGACAACGAGAAGGGAAGCAACAGAGGUUUUGAAGCUACUUAUGAUAAAGGAUCCAGCUCCUUCCACUUGCAGAAAGCCUCGGUCCAGGAGUCAGACUCGGCUGUGUACUACUGUGCUCUGGGUGACACAGUAGUGGAAACCACAGGGGGAGCUGAGCACAAACUCAUCACCAGGGCCUGA